rnacentral:rRNA from 1 species
UACGUAGGGACCAAGCGUUGUCCGGAUUUAUUGGGCGUAAAGAGCUCGUAGGCGGCUUGUCGCGUCGACCGUGAAAACUUGGGGCUCAACCCCAAGCCUGCGGUCGAUACGGGCAGACUAGAGUGUGGUAGGGGAGAUCGGAAUUCCUGGUGUAGCGGUGAAAUGCGCAGAUAUCAGGAGGAACACCGGUGGCGAAGGCGGAUCUCUGGGCCAUUACUGACGCUGAGGAGCGAAAGCGUGGGGAGCGAACAGG